UACGUAGGAGGCAAGCGUUGUCCGGACUGACUGGGCGUAAAGCGCGCGCAGGCGGUGCGGGGCGUCGGGUGCUGAAAUCGGGCCGCUUAACGGCCCGCGGCGUGCCGAUACGCCCGUACUGGAGGGUGGGCGAGGGUGGUGGAAUUGCCGGUGUAGUGGUGAAAUGCGUAGAGAUCGGCAGGAACACCCGUGGCGAAAGCGGCCACCUAGCCCAUACCUGACGCUGAUGCGCGACAGCGUGGGGAGCGAACUGG
rnacentral:rRNA from 1 species